GGUCUAGUGGUCUAGUGGUAUGAUUCUCGCUUUGGGUGCGAGAGGCCCCGGGUUCGAAUCCCGGCUGGACCC
rnacentral:tRNA from 2 species